rnacentral:rRNA from 1 species
UACGAAGGGGCUAGCGUUGCUCGGAAUCACUGGGCGUAAAGCGCACGUAGGCGGAUUGCUAAGUCAGGGGUGAAAUCCUGGAGCUCAACUCCAGAACUGCCUUUGAUACUGGCGAUCUUGAGUCCGGGAGAGGUGAGUGGAACUGCGAGUGUAGAGGUGAAAUUCGUAGAUAUUGGGAAGAACACCGGUGGCGAAGGCGGCGACCUGGUCCAUUACUGACGCUGAGGCGCGACAGCGUGGGGAGCAAACAGG